ACACCGGCAGCCCGAGUGGUGGCCACUAUUAUUGGGCCUAAAGCGUCCGUAGCCGGUCCGGUAAGUCCCUGUGGAAAUCCUCAGGCUCAACCCGAGGAAAUGCGGGGAUACUGCCGGACUCGGGGCCGGGAGACGCGGAGGGUACUCCAGGGGUAGCGGUGAAAUGCUGUAAUCCCUGGGGGACCACCAGUGGCGAAGGCGCUCCGCGAGAACGGGCCCGACGGUGAGGGACGAAAGCCAGGGGAGCGAACGGGAUUAGAAACCCUAGUAGUCC
rnacentral:rRNA from 1 species